rnacentral:rRNA from 1 species
UACGGAGGGUGCAAGCGUUAAUCGGAAUUACUGGGCGUAAAGCGCACGCAGGUGGCUGAGUCAGUCGAUUGUGAAAGCCCUGGGCUUAACCUGGGAAUUGCAGUCGAUACUACUCAGCUAGAGUAUGGGAGAGGGCAGUGGAAUUCCCGGUGUAGCGGUGAAAUGCGUAGAUAUCGGGAGGAACAUCAGUAGCGAAGGCGGCUGCCUGGCCCAAUACUGACACUCAGGUGCGACAGCGUGGGGAGCAAACAGG